UUGACCUCGGAUCAGGUAGGGAUACCCGCUGAACUUAAGCAUAUCAAUAAGCGGAGGAAAAGAAACCAACAGGGAUUGCCUCAGUAACGGCGAGUGAAGCGGCAAAAGCUCAAAUUUUAAAGCUGACAUCUUCGGUGUCCGCGUUGUAAUUUUGUGAGGCAUCUCCGGGUAGGGCGCCGGCCUAAGUUCCUUGGAACAGGACGUCACAGAGGGUGAGAAUCCCGUGCUUGGCUGGCUGUCCCCGUCCAUGUGAGGUGUCUUCGACGAGUCGAGUUGUUUGGGAAUGCAGCUCAAAAUGGGUGGUAAAUUUCAUCUAAAGCUAAAUAUUGGUGGGAGACCGAUAGCGCACAAGUAGAGUGAUCGAAAGAUGAAAAGCACUUUGAAAAUAGAGUUAAAAAGUACGUGAAAUUGUUGAAAGGGAAGCGCUUGAGACCAGACUUCGGUAAGGGGUGAUCAGCCGUCCUUCUGGGCGGUGCACUUGCCCCCCUCCGGGCCAGCAUCGGUUGAGGCGGCGGGAUAAAGGUCCCGGGAAUGUGGCUCCUUCACGGGAGUGUUAUAGCCCGGGUGAAUGCCGCCAGCUUCGACCGAGGACCGCACCCGCAAGGGUUAGGAUGCUUGGCAUAAUGGUCUUCAGCGACCCGUCU
rnacentral:rRNA from 4 species